rnacentral:rRNA from 1 species
UGGGGAAUAUUGCACAAUGGGCGCAAGCCUGAUGCAGCGACGCCGCGUGGGGGAUGACGGCCUUCGGGUUGUAAACUCCUUUCGCCAGGGACGAAGCGUUUUGUGACGGUACCUGGAGAAGAAGCACCGGCUAACUACGUGCCAGCAGCCGCGGUAAUACGUAGGGUGCAAGCGUUGUCCGGAAUUACUGGGCGUAAAGAGCUCGUAGGUGGUUUGUCGCGUCGUCUGUGAAAUUCCACAGCUUAACUGUGGGCGUGCAGGCGAUACGGGCAUAACUUGAGUACUGUAGGGGUAACUGGAAUUCCUGGUGUAGCGGUGAAAUGCGCAGAUAUCAGGAGGAACACCGAUGGCGAAGGCAGGUUACUGGGCAGUUACUGACGCUGAGGAGCGAAAGCAUGGGUAGCAAACAGGAUUAGAUACCCUGGUAGUCCAUGCCGUAAACGGUGGGCGCUAGGUGUAGGGGCCUUUUGGGGUUUCUGUGCCGUAGCUAACGCAUUAAGCGCCCCGCCUGGGGAGUACGGCCGCAAGGCU